UCGGCCUCCCAAAGUGCUAGGAUAACAGGCCUGAGCCACCACACCUGGCCUCCCUCUUUCUUUUCUGAUUCCAUCUAGCAUAUUGAUUUCGUUUGUUUUAGCUUUUCUUUUAGUUAUCUUUGUAAUUUACAGUUAAACCUUUAUUUCUUCUUUAUGAACUCUAGGCAGUAUCUCUUACCCCCCUACUUUAGAAGAUAAGAUGGAGAGUGUAGUGUCCUUUCUCAUACUUCCGUGUGGAGAAAGCCAAGUAUACGUUUAGGGGAAACCCAGAGGAAGAGGGAUGACUCACCCCACCAGCCUUAGAGCAUCUUAGCAACUGGGACAUCAGAUGUGUUGCAGAGCCAUUGUGAGACAAGGUGGUAGACUGUGAGUUUACAUAAGGGCCUGCAGACCCCCUUCCUGUUCACACAUUUGCAUUCAGAUGCUGGCUGUCCAGGCCCAAGACUUAGUUAUUUUCUGAAGAAACUGAAUGACCCUGGAAAAAAGACCUCUCAUACUGAUGUUGGGGUCAUCUAGGGAAAAGACUUGCCUCCCUGGUGAAUCACGCACAAGUGAUGUCUUCCAGCAAUCAAGACUCAACCCUGUCCACAGAAUUCCUGAUUAGUGCUGAACUGUUAAAAAAAAAGCAGACAAAAUAAAAAUCCAAACAAACAAAAUUCCAAACUUUGGAGAGGUAUGUGCGUGGAGGGGAGGCAAAUGGGUUAAAAAAAAUAGUGCUAAUGAUUGAAGCCAGGGGUUCAGCACAUAGGAAGCUCAUUGUUCUAUUCUUUUUUCUUUUGUGUAUGUUGAAAAUUUUCACUAAUAAAAAGUUUUAAAAUUAAACAAAAAGAGCAGACUACCAAGGAUCACUAGAAAAGUGAGGAAAGCUUCUAAUAUGAAGAUUAAAAACGAGAAAAAGUUAAAAAACAGCUAACUGGCCUCCCACUGCCCAAGACGCUGAAAGGAAAGAAGGCCAAGGGGAAGAAGGUGGCUCCGGCCCCUGCUGUUGUGAAGAAGCAGGAGGCCAAGAAAGUGGUGAACUCCCUGUUUGAGAAAAGGCCUAAGAAUUUUGGUAUUGGACAGGACAUCCAGCCCAAAAGAGACCUCACCUACUUUGUGAAAUGGCCUGCUAUGUCAGGCUGCAGCGGCAGAGAGCCAUCCUCUAUAAGCAGCUGAAAGUGCCUCCUGCGAUUAACCAGUUCACCCAGGCCCUGAACCGCCAAACGGUUACUCAACUGCGUAAGGUGGCCCACAAGUACAGACCAGAGACAAAGCAAGAGAAGAAGCAGAGGCUGUUGGCCCAGGCUGAGAAGAAAGCUGCUGGCAAAGGGGACGUCCCCACUAAGAGACCACCUGCCCUUCGAGCAGGAGUUAACACCAUCACCACCUUGGUGGAGAAAAAGAAAGCUCAGCUGGUGGUGAUUGCACACGAUGUGGAUUCCAUUGAGCUGGUUGUCUUCUUGCCUGCCCUGUGUUGUAAAAUGGCGGUCCCUUACUGCAUUAUCAAGGGGAAGGCAAGACUGGGCUGUCUAGUCCACGGAAGACCUGCACCACUGUCGCCUUCACACAGGUGAACUUGGAAGACAAAGGCGCUUUGGCUAAGCUGGUGGAAGCUAUCAGGACCAAUGACAAUGACAGAUACGAUGGGAUGUGCUGUCACUGGGGAGGCAAUAUCUUGGGUCCAAAGUCUGUGGCUUGCGUUGCCAAGCUCCAAAAGGCAAAGGCUAAAGAACUUGCCACUAAACUGGGUUAAAUGUAUACUGUUGAGUUUUCUGUACACAAAAGUAAUGAAAAUAAUACAAAUUUUCCUUAAAAAAAAAAACAGCUAGCUGAAGAAAUAGAGUAAAACUUCACAUAAGCACUAACUGCUCUGUGAGAUAUGUGAAGAUAUUGCAUUCAUAUUGUAAAACUGGACAGGAUGCCUCAAAAAGGAAUUAUCAGGGAAAGAGAAAAUUAAAACUAUGAUUAUCCAAAUUUGAAAAUUAGUAAAAGCGUUAAGAAAUAUUUCAGAAAGGACGAGUAGAUAAAGAACAGUAAAUAUGAGAGAAAAGAUAAAAGAUGUGGUGGAGCCAUCCAUCUAAAAUCUUGCUAAUAGGAGUUCCAGAAAGAGAACAGAAAAUAAAGAGGAUGACAUGAUUAAGAAAUAAUACAGGCGGGGGUCUGGGUGCAGUGGCUCACACCUGUAAUCCCAACACUUUGGGAGGCUC